rnacentral:rRNA from 1 species
AGUGAACGCUGGCGGUAGGCCUAACACAUGCAAGUCGAACGGCAGCACAGUAAGAGCUUGCUCUUACGGGUGGCGAGUGGCGGACGGGUGAGGAAUACAUCGGAAUCUACUUUUUCGUGGGGGAUAACGUAGGGAAACUUACGCUAAUACCGCAUACGACCUACGGGUGAAAGCAGGGGAUCUUCGUACCUUGCGCGAUUGAAUGAGCCGAUGUCGGAUUAGCUAGUUGGCGGGGUAAAGGCCCACCAAGGCGACGAUCCGUAGCUGGUCUGAGAGAAUGAUCCGCCACACUGGGACUGUGCCACGGCCCUGACUCCUACGGGAGGCAGCGGUGGGGACUAUUGGACAAUGGGCGCAAGCCUGAUCCAGCCAUACCGCGUGGGUGAAGAAGGCCUGCGGGUUGUAUAGCCCUUUUGUUGGGAAAGAAAAGCAGCAGGUUAAUCCCCCGCUGUUCUGACGGUACCCAAAGAAUAAGCACCGGCUAACUUCGUG